UCGCCUCCUGAUUAAUAUAGGAGGUCCAGCCUGCCCAGUGACUCUGUUUAACGGCCGCGGUAUUCUAACCGUGCGAAGGUAGCGUAAUCACUUGUUCUUUAAAUGAGGACUAGUAUGAAUGGCAUCACGAGGGUUAUACUGUCUCCUUUUCCAAAUCAGUGAAACUAAUCUCCCCGUGAAGAAGCGGGGAUAAAAAUAUAAGACGAGAAGACCCUAUGGAGCUUAAAACUUUCAACAAUUAUAUUUUAUUCAUAAACCUAAAGGUAACCAAACUGAUCCUUAUAAUAUGUUUGUUAGUUUUCGGUUGGGGUGACCGCGGAGUAAAACCUAUCCUCCAUAUUGAAUUAAAUUACUCUUAUUAGCAAAAAACUACAAUUUUAUGCAUCAAAAAAUUGACAUUAUUGACCCAAUAUUUUGAUCAACGAACCAA
rnacentral:rRNA from 1 species